AUUGAACGCUGGCGGCAUGCCUUACACAUGCAAGUCGAACGGUAACAGGUCUUUCGGGAUGCUGACGAGUUGCGAACGGGUGAGUAAUACAUAGGAACGUGCCUAGUAGUGGGGGAUAACUACUCGAAAGAGGUGCUAAUACCGCAUGAGAGUUAUGGAUGAAAGAAGGGGACCUUCGGGCCUUGUGCUACUAGAGCGGUCGAUGGCAGAAGAGGUAGUUAGUGGGGUAAAAGCUUACCAAGCCUGCGAUUUGUAGCUGGUCUGAGAGGACGAUCAGCCACACUGGGACUGAGACAAAGCAGACUCCUACGGGAGGCAGCAGUGGGGAAUUUUGGACAAUGGGGGAAACCCUGAUCCAGCAAUGCCGCGUGCAGGAUGAAGGCCUUCGGGUUGUAAACUGCUUUUGUACGGAACGAAAAGUCUUGGGUUAAUUCCCUGGGAUCAUGACGGUACCGUAAGAAUAAGCACCGGCUAACUACGUGCCAGCCGCCGCCGUAAGAC
rnacentral:rRNA from 1 species